UACAGAGGUCCCAAGCGUUGUUCGGAUUCAUUGGGCGUAAAGGGUGUGUAGGCGGCGCCGUAAGUCGGGUGUGAAAUUUCGGAGCUUAACUCCGAACCUGCAUUCGAUACUGCGGUGCUUGAGGACUGGAGAGGAGACUGGAAUUCAUGGUGUAGCAGUGAAAUGCGUAGAGAUCAUGAGGAAGACCAGUGGCGAAGGCGGGUCUCUGGACAGUUCCUGACACUGAGACACGAAGGCCAGGGGAGCAAACGGG
rnacentral:rRNA from 1 species